GAUGAACGCUGGCGGCGUGCCUAAUACAUGCAAGUCGAGCGAACAGACGAGGAGCUUGCUCCUCUGACGUUAGCGGCGGACGGGUGAGUAACACGUGGAUAACCUACUUAUAAGACUGGGAUAACUUCGGGAAACCGGAGCUAAUACCGGAUAAUAUAUUGAACCGCAUGGUUCAAUAGUGAAAGACGGUUUUGCUGUCACUUAUAGAUGGAUCCGCGCCGCAUUAGCUAGUUGGUAAGGUAACGGCUUACCAAGGCAACGAUGCGUAGCCGACCUGAGAGGGUGAUCGGCCACACUGGAACUGAGACACGGUCCAGACUCCUACGGGAGGCAGCAGUAGGGAAUCUUCGGCAAUGGGCGAAAGCCUGACGGAGCAACGCCGCGUGAGUGAUGAAGGUCUUCGGAUCGUAAAGCUCUGUUAUUAGGAAAGAACAGCUGUAUAAGUAACUAUGCACGUCUUGACGGUACCUAAUCAGAAAGCCACGGCUAACUACGUG
rnacentral:rRNA from 1 species